rnacentral:lncRNA from 1 species
CAAACCUCUGUUUCACUUUCUUUACAAAGCCAGUAAUUGCAGAGAGGAUCUGGAGGAGCUGGAGCCACUUGAGAUGAGUGAUUUGAGCUGGCACGAGCCCAUGCACUCCCAGCUGGCAGGAGAGCUUCUGGAUAAUCACCCUGAAGUUGAGUGCAGUGCUCAGGGCCCAGCCUUACAGACCAGGACUGAGCUCACACCACUAACAGGCAGCCAGUCUUGAAGGAAAUCCAGCUGAGGUGUGAAGAAUCCUAACGCUGUGAGCAGGACCAGCACUGUGCUGUCACCAGCAUGAGUUGUGGGAUGU